rnacentral:misc_RNA from 1 species
GAUGAAGAACGUAGCGAAAUGCGAUAAGUAAUGUGAAUUGCAGAAUUCAGUGAAUCAUCGAAUCUUUGAACGCACAUUGCGCCCCUCGGUAUUCCGGGGGCAUGCCUGUUCGAGCGUCAUUUCACCAAUCCAGCCUCGCUGGGUAUUGGGCGCUGCGGUCCGCCGCACGCCCCAAUUUCGCCGGCUGAGCUAUCUAUCUCUAAGCGUUGUGGCAACUCAAUCCGCUUGCGAGUAUAGAUGGUCUUGGGCCGUUAAAUACCCCACUACAGGUUGACCUCGGAUCAGGUAGGGAUACCCGCUGAACUUAAGCAUAUCAAUAAGCGGAGGA